rnacentral:rRNA from 1 species
AGGAGAAUAUUAUUAUCUGUUAUGUAGAAUAUUUUAUAAUAAAAUUAAUUUUAUUUUUAAGUUUAAGUAGGGUUUAAUGAAUAAAUUUUUCUUAUGAUAAUUUAUUAGUACUGUAAAGGAAUUAUGAAAUAUAUUGAAAAUUUAUUUGUGUAAAAAAAGAAUAUUAUUUGUACCUUUUGUAUCAGGGUUUAUUAAUUAAGAAAAAGGAUUUUUAGAUCCCGAAUUAGGAAGAGUUAAAUUAAUAUAAUAGUUGUUAUGGCAUUACCAUUAUUAAUAUUAAUUUGGCAAUGAGAUGUUAUCCGUUUCUUAAGAUAUCUGGUUUCUCAAGAAUUAAAUUUAAUUUAUUUAUUUUAGAGCAUUUUUAUUUUUUUAUAUUAAUUUGUUUAAAAUAUAAGAAAUAGUAAGGGAUGAGCUUUAUUAUUUUUAUUAUAAUAUUAAGAAUCAAAUUUGAAGAUGUAGGCUUGAAAUUAGCUUUCAUUAGAAUAAUGUUAUAAGUUGUUUAGUGGAAAAAAGAUUUUUUAAUAUAUUUAAUUUGUUUAUUGAGAUGUCAAAUUUAAUAAAUUUAUUUGAUUAAAAAUGAUAAAAUAAGUAUAUAAAUAUGUAUUUUUAAUUUUAAUUAAGAAUUGUUAAUAAGGAACUAGGCAAAAUUAAUACUCGCCUGUUUAUCAAAAACAUCUCCUUUUGAAUAAAUAUAAGGUAGGGCCUGCCCACUGAAUAAUUUGAAGGGCCGCGGUAUUAUGACCGUGCAAAGGUAGCAUAAUCAUUAGUCUUUUAAUUGAGGGCUGGAAUGAAUGGUUUGACGAAGUAUUAACUGUCUUAUUAUUAAAUAUAGAAGUUAACUUUUAAGUUAAAAGGCUUAAGUAUACAUAGAGGACGAGAAGACCCUAUAAAGCUUUAUAUACAUUAUAAUAAUUUAUAUUUGGUUGUUUAUUUUAAUUGUUAAAAGUAUAUUUUGUUGGGGUGACAUAAAGAUAUAUUUAACUCUUUAUUUAUUAUACAUUGAUUUAUGGGUAUUUGAUCCAUUUUUAGUGAUCAUAAGAUUAAGUUACUUUAGGGAUAACAGCGUAAUUUUUUUUAAGAGUUCUUAUCAACAAAAAAGAUUGCGACCUCGAUGUUGGAUUAAGGAAAUAGUUAGGUGUAGCAGUUUAACUAAUAGGUCUGUUCGACCUUUAAACCCUUACAUGAUCUGAGUUCAGACCGGUGUAAGCCAGGUCGGUUUCUAUCCUUAUAUUAAUAUGGUGUUUUAGUACGAAAGGACCAAGCACUUUAAAUAUUAUUUAUUAAAUUUGUUUAAUAAUAA